UACGUAGGGGGCAAGCGUUGUCCGGAUUACUGGGCGUAAAGCGCACGCAGGCGGUCUUUUAAGUUUGGAGUGACAGUUGGUGGCUUAACUGCCAAAGUGCUUCGAAAACUGAGAGACUUGAGGGCUUCAGAGGGACACGGAAUUCCGGGUGGAGUGGUGAAAUGCGUAGAUAUCAGGAGGAAUACCGAUGGCGAAGGCAGGUCUCUGGGCUAUAACUGAC
rnacentral:rRNA from 1 species